GAAGCUCUGGUCAAGACGGUCCUUCCAUCCCCAUCCUUAGAAGAGUUACCAAUUGAAACCAUGCUCAUCCUUCAUGGUCCAGCUCAAAUGGCACUUCCUCUGAGUUUUCCCUAGCUGCACAGCCUAGAAAUUGCUCACACAUUUGUCUACAUAACACGAACCCGGCUGUCUGGCUCCAGAGUUGGUGCUGUUAGUCACUAAACGAUGCUGAUGACAAUGAUGAUGAUGGAAGAGAUCAUGAAAAUGGUGCUGAUAAUGAAGUCACAAUGACAGUACAAUGUAGGGGAUGCAGCACCCACUUUGUAUCGGACUGGCCACUGGCUCUGACAUUUCUGAACUGUGUUUUAUGCUGGUCAGAUUAAGAGUGAUGUGUGGCCUGCAAUAGCUCCAAUGCCAAAUCUUUCAAAACAGAGAGUAUCACUUUGAAUCCAGAGUUGUUAUUUUGUGUUUGAAGAAUUGAGGUCUGUGAUAAAA